rnacentral:rRNA from 1 species
GACGAACGCUGGCGGCGUGCUUAACACAUGCAAGUCGAACGGAAAGGCCCUGCUUGCAGGGUACUCGAGUGGCGAACGGGUGAGUAACACGUGGGUGAUCUGCCCUGGACUUCGGGAUAAGCCUGGGAAACUGGGUUUAAUACCGGAUAGGAUCCAUUUUUAGUGUGAUGGUUGGAAAGUUUUUUCGGUGUAGGAUGAGCUCGCGGCCUAUCAGCUUGUUGGUGGGGUAAUGGCCUACCAAGGCGGCGACGGGUAGCCGGCCUGAGAGGGUGGAAGGCCACAUUGGGGCUGAGAUACGGCCCAGACUACUACGGGAGGCAGCAGUGGGGAGUAUUGCACAAUGGGCGCAAGCCUGAUGCAGCGACGCCGCGUGGGGGAUGACGGCCUUCGGGUUGUAAACUCGUUUCGCUAGGGACGAAGCUUUUUGUGACGGUACCUAGAUAAGAAGCACCGGCUAACUACGUG